AAACUAACAAGGAUUCCCCUAGUAGCGGCGAGCGAAGCGGGAAGAGCUCAAAUUUAUAAUCUGGCGCUUUCGGCGUCCGAGUUGUAAUCUCUAGAAGUGUUUUCCGCGUUGGACCGCACAUAAGUCUGUUGGAAUACAGCGGCACAGUGGUGAGACCCCCGUUCACGGUGCGGAUGCCCAAUGCUUUGUGAUACACUUUCGAAGAGUCGAGUUGUUUGGGAAUGCAGCUCAAAUUGGGUGGUAAAUUCCAUCUAAAGCUAAAUAUUGGCGAGAGACCGAUAGCGAACAAGUACCGUGAGGGAAAGAUGAAAAGCACUUUGGAAAGAGAGUUAACAGUACGUGAAAUUGUUGGAAGGGAAACGCUUGAAGUCAGACUUGCUAUUCGGGGCUUGCUCCGAGUUGCAGGCCAGCAUCAGUUUUUCGGGGCGGAAAAUCACGGAUUGAAGGUAGCAGUUUCGGCUGUGUUAUAGCUUUCCGUUGGAUACGUCCUGGGGGACUGAGGAACGCAGUGUGCUUUUAGCGAG
rnacentral:rRNA from 1 species